rnacentral:misc_RNA from 1 species
GAAAUGCGAUAAGUAAUGUGAAUUGCAGAAUUCAGUGAAUCAUCGAAUCUUUGAACGCACAUUGCGCCCGCCAGUAUUCUGGCGGGCAUGCCUGUUCGAGCGUCAUUUCAACCAUCAAGCCCCCGGCUUGUGUUGGGGACCUGCGGCUGCCCGCAGGCCCUGAAAAACAGUGGCGGGCUCGCUGUCACACCGAGCGUAGUAGCAUACAUUCUCGCUCAGGGCGUGCUGCGGGUUCCGGCCGUUAAACGACCUUCAUAACCCAAGGUUGACCUCGGAUCAGGUAGGAAGACCCGCUGAGUUUAAGC